AUUGAACGCUGGCGGCAGGCCUAACACAUGCAAGUCGAGCGAGCGGCGGACGGGUUAGUACUGUCUGGGAAACUGCCUGAUGGAGGGGGAUAACUACUGGAAACGGUAGCUACUACCGCAUACCAUCAGAUGUGCCCAGAUGGGAUUAGCUAGUAGGGGGGGUAACGGCUCACCUAGGCGACGAUCCCUAGCUGGUCUGAGAGGAUGACCAGCCACACUGGAACUGAGACACGGUCCAGACUCCUACGGGAGGCAGCAGUGGGGAAUAUUGGACAAUGGGCGCAAGCCUGAUGCAGCCAUGCCGCGUGUGUGAAGAAGGCCUUCGGGUUGUAAAGCACUUUCGGCGAGGAGGCGUUACUCGCAGAAGAAGCACCGGCUAACUCCGUGCCAGCAGCCGCGGUAAUUC
rnacentral:rRNA from 1 species